GUGCUUUCUCUGGCAGCGCAUAGACUAAAAUUGGAACAAUACAGAGAUUAGCAUGGCUUCUGCACAAAGAUGGUAUGUAAAUUUAUGAAGCAUGUUUUAUACUU